rnacentral:rRNA from 1 species
GCAACUCCCUUCCCCAUACCACCCUGAAUGCGCCCGAUCUCGUCUGAUCUCGGAAGCUAAGCAGGGUCAGGCCUGGUUAGUACUUGGAUGGGAGUUGCC